GACCGAUAGUGAACCAGUACCGUGAGGGAAAGGCGAAAAGAACCCCUAGCAGGGGAGUGAAAUAGACCCUGAAACCGGAUGCUUACAAGCAGUUGGAGCCUCUUUAUGAGGUGACAGCGUACCUUUUGUAUAAUGGGUCAGCGACUUAAUCUCAUUAGCAAGCUUAAGCCAUAUAGGUGUAGGCGAAGCGAAAGCGAGUCUGAAUAGGGCGAUUUAGUUAAUGGGAUUAGACUCGAAACCGGGUGAUCUAGUCAUGAGCAGGUUGAAAGUGAAGUAAAAUUCACCGGAGGACCGAACCCACUAGCGUUGAAAAGCUACGGGAUGACUUGUGAUUAGGGGUGAAAGGCCAACCAAACUCGGAAAUAGCUAGUUCUCCGCGAAAACUAUUUAGGUAGUGCGUCGUGUGAAUCUUAUUGGGGGUAGAGCACUGAAUGGGCUAGGGGGAAGCAAUUCCUACCAAACCUAAUCAAACUCCGAAUACCAGUAAGUCUGCACGGCAGACAGUCCAUGGGUGCUAAGGUCCUUGGACGAGAGGGAAACAGCCCAGAUCAACAGCUAAGGUCCCCAAAUAAUGAUUAAGUGUGAAAGGGAGUGGGAACUCCAAGACAGCCAGGAGGUUGGCUUAGAAGCAGCCAUCCUUUAAAGAAAGCGUAACAGCUCACUGGUCUAAUUAAGAGAUCCUGCACCGAAAAUGUAACGGGGCUCAAAUCAUUUACCGAAGCUUUGACAAUUACUUUUAGUAAUUGGGUAGCGGAGCGUUCUGUAAGCCUGCGAAGGUGAUGCGUAAGCAUUGCUGGAGGUAUCAGAAGUGCGAAUGCUGACAUGAGUAACGAUAAGAAAUGUGAAAGACAUUUCCGCCGAAAUCCUAAGGUUUCCUGCGUAAAGCUAAUCUGCGCAGGGUUAGUCGGCCCCUAAGGCGAGGGCGAAAGCCGUAGUCGAUGGGAAGCAGGUUAAUAUUCCUGCACCAGCUGGUAGUGACGGAUGAAGUAAAUUGUGAGUUCUUACUGGAUUGAACUUGCAGUGAAUUUGUCCCUGGAAAUAGCUCCAGCAUUAGACCGUACCAAAACCGACACAGGUAGGAGGGUAGAGAAUACCAAGGCGCUUGAGAGAACUAUGUUGAAGGAACUCGGCAAAUUACACUUGUAACUUCGGGAUAAAAGUGACCUGCUAUUGGGCAACCAGUAGGAGGUGGCACAGAAGAGGGGGUAGCGACUGUUUACUAAAAACAUAGCACUAUGCAAAGUCGAAAGACGACGUAUAUGGUGUGACGCCUGCCCGGUGCCGGAAGGUUAAUAGGAGGGGUGCAAGCCCUGAAUUGAAGCCCCGGUGAACGGCGGCCGUAACUAUAACGGUCCUAAGGUAGCGAAAUUCCUUGUCGGGUAAGUUCCGACCUGCACGAAUGGCGUAACGAUUUCCCCACUGUCUCCAACAUAGACUCAGUGAAAUUGAAUUCUCGGUUAAGAUGCCGAGUAACCGUGGUUAGACGGAAAGACCCCGUGCACCUUUACUGCAGCUUUGUAUUGGUAUUAGGGAACAGAUGUGUAGCAUAGGUGGGAGACUUUGAAGGAGUGGCGCUAGCCAUUCUGGAGUCACUAGUGAAAUACCACUCUUCUGUUCCUUGAUGCCUAACCAUACACCGUCAUCCGGUGUUGGGACCAUGC
rnacentral:rRNA from 1 species